CCAUAGCUCAGUGGUAGAGCAUCUGCCUUGCAAACAAAAGGUCCCGAGUUCAAUCCCCUGCAGGUCGA